rfam:Salmo salar isolate Sally breed double haploid chromosome ssa24, whole genome shotgun sequence.
UGUAUGCACUGAUGUAAGUCGCUCUGGAUAAUAGCGUCUGCUAAAUGGCAUAUA